rnacentral:lncRNA from 1 species
UUUUUUUUUUUUUUUUUUUUUUAGCAUUUAUUGAGAUGCUCAUGAAAUUUCUUGGUUCUUCAUUUGUUGAGGUAGUAUAAUCAUGUUUAUUGAUCAUGAAUCUCGAUGUAAUUUUCCAUUUCUUUGCCUGAACUACACUGAUUGUAAUGAAUGAUCUGUUUUGUUUUGUUUUGGUUUGGUUUUUGGUUUUUCGAGACAGGGUUUCUCUGUGUAGCCCUGGCUGUCCUAGAACUCACUCUGUAGACCAGGCUGGCCUUGAACUCAGAAAUCUGCCUGCCUCUGCCUCCCGAGUGCUGGGAUCAAAGGCGUGCACCACCAGGCCCGGCUAUGAAUGAUCUUUUUAAAAGGGAUAUUUUCUUAUAGUUUUGUUUUGUGUUGUGUCCUUGUCUGGUUUUCAUAUAAUAAUGCUUGCCUGAUAGAGUUUGGAAUAAUAAUUGAAGAGAAUUGGUGUUCAUUCUUCCUUGAGGUGCAGUUGAAUGAAGCAAGUCUGGGAAGUUGCUACUGAUUCCCUUACAUGUUACUUUUCGUCCAGGCUUUCUGUUUUGUGAAGAUUCAGUAUUGAGAGAGAGGAUAGGAUGGAUACAAAUGUCCUAUGUAUCCAUUAAUUUGUUGAGGAUCCCUUGCCGCUCAGUGCUCCUUUGGUGUUCUCCAUGCUGUUGGCUAUAAUAUUUGUUUUUCAUCUCCAGUUUUCAGUAUUCCUCCUUUCCUUUAGUCACGCUAAGGAUUGGUCUAUUUUAUUUUAUUUUGUCGAAGCACACUCUCUGUUUACUUGAUUUUAUUUUCAGUUUUCUGCUUCAUUUAUUUCUGCUCUGAUCUGUGAGUUCUGGUCUUGAGACCCUGGCCUUGCACAUGCUUACCUGCUUCAGCACACACUCAGAUCUUCAGGAUACUGUGCCCUCUAUAGAUUUUGGAUUUCAUUGUUUUUGUAUUCCUUGGAGCACAAAGAUAAUUUGUGUGAUGGUUAAUGUAGAUUAUUGACUUAAUUGAAUUGAGAAGCAUCUAGGACAUUGGUAAAAAUAAGUGUGUGUGUGGAGGAGGAGAAUAUUUCCAGAAAAAUUCAAGGUAGUGGGUGGAGAGUUGAAGGGUAUCCUUGAAUGUGUGCAAUACAAGCCAACAGACUGGGAGUACAAGUAAAAGAAAAGGGGAGGCGAGCCCAGUACAGGCGUAUUCUCCCUCCCUGGGCUAGUAUGAUGUGUGCUGUUCUGACCUUCAUGAUGGUCUAAGGCAUAAAACCUUCCAAAAAUGUAUAUUAAAAGAAUCAUUCCUUCCUUAAGUUGUUAUUCUCAAGUAUUUGUCACAGGAAAAAAAUCUUUUUUUUUCAGUUUGUAUUUUUUAUUAGAUAUUUUCUUUAUUUACAUUUCAAAUGUUAUCCCCUUUCCUAAUUGCCCCUCUGAAAACACUAUCCCUUCCCCCCUCCCCCUGCUCACCAGCCCACCCACUCCUGCUUCCUGGCCCUGGCAUUCCCCUAAUACUGGGGCAUAGAACCUUUACAGGACCAAGGUCCUCUCCUCCCACUGAUGACUGACCAGGCUAUCCUCUGCUGCAUAUGCAGCUAGAGCCCUGAGUCCCACCAUGUGUUUUCUUUGGUUGGUAGUUUAGACCCAGGGAGCUCUGGAGGUUAGUUCAUAUUAAUGUUCCUCCUAUGGGGCUUCAGACCCCUUCAGCUCCUUGGGUCCUUUCUCUUGCUCCUUCAUUGGGGACCCUGUGCUUUGUGCAAUGAAUGGCUGUGAGCAUCCACUUCUGUAUUUGUCAGGCACUGGCAGAGCCUCUCAGGAGACAGCUGUAUCAGGCUCCUGUCAGCAAGCUCUUGUUGGCAUCCACGAUAGUGUCUUGGUUUGGUGGUUGUUUAUGGGAUGGAUCCCAAAGUGGAGCAAUCUCUGGAUGUUCAUUCCUUCAGUCCCUUUGCCUCUGUAACUCCUUCCAUGGGUAUUUUGUUUCCCCUUCUAAGAAGGAUCAAAGUAUUCACACUUUGGUCUUCCUUCUUGUUGAGUAUCAUGUGUUUUGUGAAUUGUAUCUUGGGUAUUCUGAGCUUUUGGCCUAAUAUCCACUUAUUACUCAGAAGAUGCUCCAACAUGUAAUAAGGACAGACACAUGUUCCACUAUGUUCAUAGCAGCCUUAUUUAUAAUAGCCAGAAGCUGGAAAAGUCUUAACUAACAUAGUUGUUUAUCUGUACUCUUUGUUUACAGUUGUGUGGAUUGGGAUACAGGACUUUGCAUAUUCGAGGCAAGUGCUGUAGCACUAAACUGUGUCCUCAGCCCUUGCAGUCUUUUUUGAUAGCAUUUUUAUUUACUUGUAGAAACUUUAAACAGUGUGCAGUAUAUUUUGAUCACGACUCUCUUUCAACUCCUCCUACUGCCCUCAGUUUUUCCCAGCUCAUCUCAUGUCUUUUUUAAAAAGGAGAGGCCAAGCAGUACUGCCCAGUAUAUGCAUGGCAUGCAUGUGGGGCCAUCUUCUGGCAUAGGCAGCCUACCUACCAGUAGCCAUGUUCCUAAAGGACAGUGAUCUUUUCUCCCUCAGCAGCUAUCAGUUCCUCUAGGAGUGGGGUCUUAAGGGCUCCUCCCCACCCAUGCUGGAAUCUUGGUUGUUUUUUUUUUUUCUUGAGAUAGGGUCCCUGGCUGUCCUGGAACUCCGUCUGUAGGUCAGGCUGGCCUCAAAUCACAGGGAUCCGCCUGCCUCUGCCUCCUGAGUACUGGGAGUAAAGGUUUGCCCCGCCACUGCCCGGCUCCAUGCUGGAGUGCUAAGGACGAGAUCUGUAUUGAGUGACUAGAGUGCUGCAGUUUGACAUGUGCGACAGCUGUGUACUGUCCAGACGUCAGCAUUUCAUGACGCUCUUCCAUUCUUUGGCUGUGACUUUGUUUCCAUCUCUUUCAUGAUGAGUCUUGGAUUGAGAGAGGUUGGUAUAGAUGACUCACCCACAGGUGAGAAUAUAGCCAGUACUUGGGCCAAUUGUGAAUCUUUAUAUUAACUGUCAUCCAAUGAAACUAUAAAUCUAUUGGUAGGAGAGCAUUAAGCAGAGUUUCACAGCAUGACUUGUGAAUAAAACAACAACAUGCCUAGCAUCCAGGCACAGACUUUUUUUUUUUUCUUUUUUACAGUAUCAGGCAUGAAAUCCUUCCUGUAUAGCAGGACUCAUAUCUAAUCAGAAAAGUUAUUGACAUCACUGUCCUGCUACUAUUUAUUACACAGGCAAAUUAGUGUUUUAGCAGUGUUGUGUCUAUACCGGUACAGUAGAAAAUAGGUUUGGAAAUUAUAUGAUGUUUGUGGAAAUGAACAAUUUACACAUAAAUACUGGAUCAAGGAAAAGUAAAGCAAAUUUAAAAGCUCUUGAGACAAAAAUGUAAAUAUGGCAUAACCAAAAAUCUGUGGACUAGGACAGAUUCCUACUACAGCAGAGUAAGAACUACGGCUUUUGUCUCUCGUUUUAUUUUUUUUUUAAAUAAUUUUGAUGAUCUUUGUUGUGAUAUUUGUAAUGUUAGAUUGCUCUCAAAGAAUCAUAUACUGUACAAGAUUUAAAAGUCCAUAUUUGUUGGCUAUUUCUGAUUUGUGAUGUUUGUUAAUAUUUUCUUCUUUCUUUUUUAGGUAAACGGACAGUGUGCUGGCCACACAGCAAUGCAAGCUGCUAGUCAGAACGGACAUGUUGAUAUUUUGAAAUUACUUUUGAAGCAAAAUGUUGAUGUUGAAGCAGAGGUAUAUAAACUAAGCUUGAAAACAAGACCGAGUCAACUUUUUCUAGAAAUAGUUCUAUAUAAGAUGGAAUUUCAUUCUUGAAAUUUAAUAUUCACCCUGUGUUGUCCAAAUUAAAAGGAAAAGAAAAGAUAGUUUAGAACUUUCUUCUAUCUUUCUCUUCCCAUCACUCCUUUUCUCUCUUUUUAAUGACUCCUCAAUAUUUCAGACGUAGCCUCCUUCUGUUAGGGUAGAAAUGCUAUUGGGAGCACUACUGUGCUCACCCAUGAUCCCUACUAGACACGUAUAAGGGGAUGUAUACACUUGGGAUCAACAUCUUUCUUAACUAACACUCAGAGGUCUUUUUUUCUUACAAGUUCAUUUAUCAUUUGCUUAGCCUGUUUAUUAUUAUUUUUUAACUUUUAUAGUGGGUCUUUAUCCCUGCAUGUGCAGAUGCUUAACUUUGUGUGUAUUAUAAAAGGGCAAUAAAUACUGACAUUGGCUGGGACAUCUGUUCUAUGUAUGAGGUAGAAACAUUAGCUUAGUUUAACAAAAUACAGUUAACAACUGUAACAUUACC